GCUGGUUGCUCCCAGGAGCUGAGAUGAGUGAAGUGGCUUGGGGGAGGCUUGUUUGGAGAGAAGAGGCAAGAGGAAGGGGUCAGGGAGAGGAGGAGAGAAAACCCCUCUUGGCGAUAUAACUCAGAGGAAUGAGACCAAGGAAAAUUUCCAGGGAUGUUCAAAGGGUAAGAGGGAGGAAGCUCUCUGAUGCUAGCUCCCCUCCCCACCCUCAGUGCAUCUGGGCAAAUCCAUGGCUUCCUGAGACCCUCUUUUGAUCCUUAGCCCCAGAACCCCUCAGUUUUCCUUCUCUGGCACAUUCUUGGAACUGCCAGGAACUGAUGGGAAGGCCACUGUGACAUCCCACUUAAUCUUCAUAACAACUCGAGCCAAGAGUCGGUCUUCCUGCUUCGGAGAGGAGGAAAGGAGAUGUCAGAGCUUGCCCAAAGUCACGUGGAGGUCCAGAGCCCGGAUUGAAGUCACAUCUGCCUGAGGCCACAUGCUGAGAUCCCCCACUCCCCUUGGCUGCCUCCUAGGGUCGUGGCCACCCCAACCCUCCUGUCCUCACCACUACACAGGUUCAACACACACACACACACACACAAAACGAGACCUGGGACCCAAGGGUAAAGGAGGGAGGCCUUUGGGGGGCAGGAGUCAGCCUUCUCUGAGCCACCCCCAGCUGUGAGGACUUUGAGGCCCAGGACCUGAGUGCUCCCAGGGCUCAUAUAGACCCUGUCUUCCUUCUCAUCCAGGGGUCGGAGGCCCGCUAAGGACCUCUUCUGGAAAGCAGAGGCCAAAACCCACUCAGGCUCAGACUGGCUGACAGCUUGGGGCCAGUUUCUGCUCCCAGGACCAGUUUCAAACUGCUAUGACCUGCUCAUUUUAGCCUUACCCAGAUAGUGGUCCAAGGCUCAGGGCUUAGGGGGAGGAGCUUCUUUCUCUGAAAUUCUGAAAAUGAAAUUUUGAAAACUGGUCUGAAAUUGGACUUCAUGGGACCUCAGUAUUUGAGCCUCCAGAUACCUGACUAUCUUGAGGUCUACAGAUCUAAAUAUGCUAAUACCAGCUACCUGGGAGCUGAAUGUCCCCAAGAGCCAAACAUUUGAGCGCCCGAGGUAGAACACGUAGGGCUGAUGAUUGAGUGUCUAGGUUGGAGAUCUGAGAUGGAAAGGAGUCUGCACCAUUCCAGCUCUUCAGCCCCACCCCUGUCUUCCUUCCCCACUCUCUCUCCCAGCCGAAGAAUGGCCUCUCUCUUCGUUCCUGACCUUCUAGGAGCCUGGCGCAGGCAUCACACCCAGGCCCCUGGCACAGACGUGUCACACAGAAACCAUCACCCACUCGGAUCAGUGAUAACUGGGGCCCAAACUCAGGACCAGGUCCCUAAAGGAGUCGAGGCUGCCUUGGGGACACCCGUGCCUGCCUGUGGCUGUGUCAUGUGUCUGGUGGCUGUGUUGGUAAUUGUGUGUGCGGGAGAACCAAACUCUGGCAAGAUGAAGUUCUACUCAAGAGAAAUGAAAACAUGGGCCCCCACAGAAACUUGCACAACAAUGGUCACAGCGGUAUUUUUCAUAAUGGCCAAAAAGUGGAAAUAACCCAAAUGUACAUCAACUGGUGAAUAUAUAGAUAAAAUGUAGUCUAUCCAUACAAUGGGAUAUUAUUUGGCCAUGAAAAGUAAUGAAGUACUGAUUCAUGUUACAACACGGUUGGAUAUUGAAGACUCUAUGUUAAGUGAAAGAAGACAAUCACAAUAAACCAUGCAUUCUUUU